rnacentral:rRNA from 1 species
UACGGAGGGUGCAAACGUUGCUCGGAAUCAUUGGGCGUAAAGCGCACGUAGGCGGCCUUAUAAGUCGGGUGUGAAAGCCCUCGGCUCAACCGAGGAAGUGCAUUCGAUACUGCAAGGCUUGAAUAUGGAAGAGGGUCGCGGAAUUCCCGGUGUAGAGGUGAAAUUCGUAGAUAUCGGGAGGAACACCAGUGGCGAAGGCGGCGACCUGGGCCAAUAUUGACGCUGAGGUGCGAAAGCGUGGGGAGCAAACAGG